rnacentral:rRNA from 1 species
UAGGGAAUCUUCCGCAAUGGACGAAAGUCUGACGGAGCAACGCCGCGUGAGUGAUGAAGGUUUUCGGAUCGUAAAGCUCUGUUGCCAGGGAAGAACGUCCGAUAGAGUAACUGCUAUCGGAGUGACGGUACCUGAGAAGAAAGCCCCGGCUAACUACGUGCCAGCAGCCGCGGUAAUACGUAGGGGGCAAGCGUUGUCCGGAAUUAUUGGGCGUAAAGCGCGCGCAGGCGGUCAUUUAAGUCUGGUGUUUAAUCCUGGGGCUCAACCCCGGGUCGCACUGGAAACUGGGUGGCUUGAGUACAGAAGAGGAGAGUGGAAUUCCACGUGUAGCGGUGAAAUGCGUAGAUAUGUGGAGGAACACCAGUGGCGAAGGCGACUCUCUGGGCUGUAACUGACGCUGAGGCGCGAAAGCGUGGGGAGCAAACA